AGAGUUUGAUCAUGGCUCAGAUUGAACGCUGGCGGCAGGCCUAACACAUGCAAGUCGAGCGGUAGCACAGAGAGCUUGCUCUCGGGUGACGAGCGGCGGACGGGUGAGUAAUGUCUGGGAAACUGCCUGAUGGAGGGGGAUAACUACUGGAAACGGUAGCUAAUACCGCAUAACGUCGCAAGACCAAAGUGGGGGACCUUCGGGCCUCAUGCCAUCAGAUGUGCCCAGAUGGGAUUAGCUAGUAGGUGGGGUAACGGCUCACCUAGGCGACGAUCCCUAGCUGGUCUGAGAGGAUGACCAGCCACACUGGAACUGAGACACGGUCCAGACUCCUACGGGAGGCAGCAGUGGGGAAUAUUGCACAAUGGGCGCAAGCCUGAUGCAGCCAUGCCGCGUGUGUGAAGAAGGCCUUCGGGUUGUAAAGCACUUUCAGCGGGGAGGAAGGCGNCGAUUGACGUUACCCGCAGAAGAAGCACCGGCUAACUCCGUGCCAGCAGCCGCGGUAAUACGGAGGGUGCAAGCGUUAAUCGGAAUUACUGGGCGUAAAGCGCACGCAGGCGGUCUGUCAAGUCGGAUGUGAAAUCCCCGGGCUCAACCUGGGAACUGCAUUCGAAACUGGCAGGCUAGAGUCUUGUAGAGGGGGGUAGAAUUCCAGGUGUAGCGGUGAAAUGCGUAGAGAUCUGGAGGAAUACCGGUGGCGAAGGCGGCCCCCUGGACAAAGACUGACGCUCAGGUGCGAAAGCGUGGGGAGCAAACAGGAUUAGAUACCCUGGUAGUCCACGCCGUAAACGAUGUCGAUUUGGAGGUUGUGCCCUUGAGGCGUGGCUUCCGGAGCUAACGCGUUAAAUCGACCGCCUGGGGAGUACGGCCGCAAGGUUAAAACUCAAAUGAAUUGACGGGGGCCCGCACAAGCGGUGGAGCAUGUGGUUUAAUUCGAUGCAACGCGAAGAACCUUACCUGGUCUUGACAUCCACAGAACUUUCCAGAGAUGGAUUGGUGCCUUCGGGAACUGUGAGACAGGUGCUGCAUGGCUGUCGUCAGCUCGUGUUGUGAAAUGUUGGGUUAAGUCCCGCAACGAGCGCAACCCUUAUCCUUUGUUGCCAGCGGUCAGGCCGGGAACUCAAAGGAGACUGCCAGUGAUAAACUGGAGGAAGGUGGGGAUGACGUCAAGUCAUCAUGGCCCUUACGACCAGGGCUACACACGUGCUACAAUGGCAUAUACAAAGAGAAGCGACCUCGCGAGAGCAAGCGGACCUCAUAAAGUAUGUCGUAGUCCGGAUUGGAGUCUGCAACUCGACUCCAUGAAGUCGGAAUCGCUAGUAAUCGUAGAUCAGAAUGCUACGGUGAAUACGUUCCCGGGCCUUGUACACACCGCCCGUCACACCAUGGGAGUGGGUUGCAAAAGAAGUAGGUAGCUUAACCUUCGGGAGGGCGCUUACCACUUUGUGAUUCAUGACUGGGGUGAAGUCGUAACAAGGUAACCGUAGGGGAACCUGCGGUUGGAUCACCU
rnacentral:rRNA from 1 species